AGUCCUAUAACGAGCGCAACCCCUAUCGUUAGUUGCCAACAGGUUAAGCUGGGAACUCUAACGAGACUGCCGGUGCAAACCGCGAGGAAGGUGGGGAUGACGUCAAAUCAUCACGGCCCUUACGUCCUGGGCCACACACGUGCUACAAUGGUCGGUACAGAGAGCAGCCACUACGCGAGUAGGAGCGAAUCUUCAAAACCGAUCUCAGUUCGGAUCGCAGUCUGCAACUCGACUGCGUGAAGCUGGAAUCGCUAGUAAUCGGAUAUCAGCCAUGAUCCGGUGAAUACGUUCCCGGGCCUU
rnacentral:rRNA from 1 species